rnacentral:tRNA from 1 species
GGCUCAAUGGUCUAGUAGCAUGAUACGUGCUUCGGGAGAAAACCCACCACAAGGAUGUGGUCAAGAUGUACGUGACCCGGGUUCAAUUCCCGGUUGAGCCC